GAUGAACGCUGGCGGCGUGCCUAAUACAUGCAAGUCGAGCGAACAGACGAGAGUGCUUGCCCUCUCUGACGUUAGCGGCGGACGGGUGAGUAACACGUGGGUAACCUACCUAUAAGACUGGGAUAACUUCGGGAAACCGGAGCUAAUACCGGAUAAUAUUUAGCUUCGCAUGAAGCAAUAGUGAAAGACGGUUCUGCUGUCACUUAUAGAUGGACCCGCGGUGUAUUAGCUAGUUGGUGAGGUAACGGCUCACCAAGGCAACGAUACAUAGCCGACCUGAGAGGGUGAUCGGCCACACUGGGACUGAGACACGGCCCAGACUCCUACGGGAGGAAGCAGUAGGGAAUCUUCCGCAAUGGACGAAAGUCUGACGGAGCAAUGCCGCGUGAGUGAAGAAGGUUUUCGGAUCGUAAAACUCUGUUGUAAGGGAAGAACAAGUACGUUAGUAACUGAACGUACCUUGACGGUACCUUACCAGAAAGCCACGGCUAACUACGUG
rnacentral:rRNA from 1 species